GGUGUGCACUUACAUUUGCACUUAAAAUGGACCUUAACUGUAUGAUCAUUCCAUGUCAGAAAGGGCUUUUACUUGAAUUGUGAGUUUUUUUCAGUCCUUCUCUUCACAUAGGCGUGACCGAUAGACAAGGUUACUCCAUUCAAAGUGCCAUGUAAGGGUAAUUGUAAAGAACAAAAAAAAAACAGAGUGUCAUGUUCUGGUGCCAUGUGAUUGAAUUUGACAUGAAAUAGUGUGUGUAGGACGUGUUAUAGGACGUGCAUUUGUAAUGUGAUGAUAAUGCAUAGCGGGAAAAUAGUCCUAUCGUUGUAUGAAUCAUGAUUUGAUGUGUGUGGCAUGACUAAAGCCAUGCCUUUCAAGAGAGAAUCUGCAGCUGCCUGCUUUCAUUAUAGAUUGACUAUGUCAGAGGGGUCCCCCCCAAAAGGAUCAUGGUCAUAUUACCCAUGAGUCCCCAAGUGUACAAAGCAUCUGAUUCGAUGGUACAAGACUAUGCCCCUUAUUGCUUCAUGUUCAAACAGGAUACAGUGGACUUAUACAAAAUGGUGGAUGUGAUGUUUCAAUGUCUAGUCAAUCAUUUCUGACUGUAUUGAUACUGUAGUAUUGUUCUACUGCAUGUUUUCAAUAAUGCUGCAUCGUUUCUGAAGAAAAAAGGGAACGCCAUCGGUACAAAAGUAUUGUGAAAUAUGGACAAAUCGGCAUUGAGGGAGGGAGGGAAAGGGUGUCGGGGGAACUAACUCGUACACCUGUUUGGGGAGAGUUAGGCAGCUCUCUAGACAUGCUUGUGUCACGCUAAGAGGCAGCACCGUCAUUCCUCUUCUGUUGCACUACAGUGACUGGGUUUGGUGCCAAGAGGCGUGCAGUGAGAGCCGAGAAGUUACCACUAGGAUUCAGUGAAACAAACCUGACUGUUGACUUGUUACGCCCAGUGACCCUUUCCACAAAGACUCUGAGGAGGAGCGAGCAGGGGGCUAGUUGGAUUGUCUCAGCUGUAGCUGUCUGUCAACAGGGGGAGGGUCUUCACUGAGCUUCUUUACAGUUAAAUCCCCAGCACAAACACACCCAGUGCUUAGGAAGCACUGAGGUGGAGCUGUUCAGUGUGUGUAUGCUUGUCUCUGUGUAUGCGUGUGCAGUUGUAAGUGUGUGUGGAGGUGGUGUAUGUUUAUUGGCUCCGCAAAAUGUAGGCAUUCUGCAGCGGAAAAACAGGAGAGCAAGUUUGCCUUUGGCCUAUAACCGUGGGUGGGUGGGCCAGAAGGCUUGUAUAUGUAGCAUCUCUUAGUCAAAGUUUCUUUGCCCUAAUGGUGUGGUUUGUCACUUGGGGUACGUCGGGGUGAGAGAGCUUUCGAUUAUAAUUUCAAUCAGUCCCGUGCUGAACCAGGAAAUGGAUAAAAAAAUCAACUUGAAUUAUCGAUUACCAUUUAGAUCGAGUUUUGUACUGUAAUGUCUUCAGGGGUGUGCCUGGCCUAUUGUGACAGGCAGAGUGUCCUUAGCAUAUAAUUUCACUAAAGCCCCCCCCGACCACGUCGGGUGCUUACAGACAAGAAAAAUAAAUGCCCUGCACACUAUAACUUUUAUUUUUAAAACCCAUAAUGCUAAGCAAUUUACAUUUUAAUCGCUUUGUAGGGUUAUUAUAUUGAGAGAGAGAGAGAGAGAGAGAGAGAGGAUUGGUGGUUUUUUGAGCUGUGCAGCGACUCCAAGCAAGCUGUUUAUUGCAUGUAUGAAAACUGUCUUACUGAUUAGAAGAAAGUCAAAUUGCCUGGCAGGUGAAAAAGAAACAAACUUUCUGAAUGGUCCUCCUGGCUUUACUUGAAUAAUGAAGAUUUAAAAAAAUGUUUGUCGGCUGUUCAUGUGUGCUUUGUGUGAAAAAGCACUGUCUGCCAUAUGUCCCUCACCCUGAAUGAUACACAUACUGUAGGUCCACAACAACACGUUUAACAAUGCAAAUCAAUGGUAUACAAACUCUCACCUUAUAUUACAAAACUUCUAUAUCAAACUAUCAAGUUUGUUCACUUCUUUGGCUUUUCUGUGAUGUAAUUAAAAAGAGAUUUGUUGACAUAAAGAUGAAAAAUGUAACAAUUAUGUUCUGUGAAGAGAUGGCAAUCUUAUUGGUUCUUAAUGGAAAGCUACAGCUACUGUAAAUUGUAUACAGUUGCUAUGACCUGCGGUAUUGAACACCUUAAAGGCCCAAAGCAGCUGUUUUAUUACCCGUUUUUGGGUAACAAUUUUGUACAUUACUGUAAUAGAUUUCCAUUAAAAAGGGCAAAAAUAGCUUUAUAGCAAAAAACUAUUUCUCAAGCAAGAAUUUUGCAAGGACUGUCUGGGAAUGGUGGAAGGGGACAACUGAAAACCUGAUGUUAUUGGCAGAGAGGUUUGAAACUUUUUUAAAAUUGGUAUAUUAAAGCUGUUAGGGCGACCCAACUAAAUUCACAUAGAAAUGUGAGUUAUAGAUCUGUCUUUCUCAUUUAAAGCAAGUCUACGAAGCGGUAUAUCUGUUCUAUGUGUUCUAUUUUUAUGCUUCCUGGGUCUUUUACUUUCGGUUUUGUACACCAGCUUCAAACAGAUGAAAAUACAGCAUUUCUGGUUAUUGAAAUAUAUUUACAGUGGUUUAUAUUGUACAAUGAUUCUCUACACUAUGCAUUGCUUGUUUUUUCACAUACAUUGAUAUGCCACACUGAUAUGGCAAACUAUUAGAAUUUUUACAACCAGGAAAUGGCACAGCGAUUUCUGCAUCUUGCACCUUUAACCAAUUUACUGCAUGGCGAUGUCACCAUUGAAAGUCUAAACUCCUGCCCAUGCAAACCUGCUCAUUAGAAGGUCCUGUGUAGAUUGUGUUUUCAACCAGCAACUAUCAAGAAAUAACACUGGUACAUUUUUUUUUUUAAUACUUUUCCUGUGUUAGUUUUACUAUAUGAUACAAAACACAGGAAAAAUUGAAUUUUGAUGGCACUGGGCCUUAAAGUAACCAAAUGUCAUCUAUACGGUUAUUGUAUGCAUUACCAGCAGUGAACAAAUCCUAUUCUUAAGGUGAAAUAUAAUUGGUUUUCUACAUCUCAUAUAUGCAAAUAACAGUGGUUUGAGUUCUGUGGAAUGGAAUAAAUUAAAGUGUAUUUAACAUAGUGGUAGUAUAAACUAAUUGGAUACAUGACACUGCAUUUAGACACUAAUGCUUUGUCAAACAAAUCAUACUCCAGACUCCCAAUAUACAUAGGUGUUUUUGAAUGUUUAGUAUAAGUUGGGAAUACUGCUGAUUCAUCUUAACAAGUGGAGUUGGCCCUCUGUACUUGUGCUUGGCAGGUAAUUAAUUUAAUUAAUAGAGAUCCAAGAAUGGAUCCUUGUGGAACACCACAUUUGAUUUCAAGAGGGGGGAGUUUAUUCCUUUUAAUGUGACAGAUUGCAUUCUUCCUUUUCCUUUUAAGAAUGCAGAUAAUGGUCCCCAUGUACUUAUUUGGUUUUAUAUUAUGAAUGUCAUGUUUUACACUCCAUAUUCUUUGUUAAGGCACUUGUGGGGACACCUGUGGUAUGCAGUAUGUGGGAAACAUACGGAUACAGACACAGUUUUUCCCACUGAUACAAUCUAUUUUGCUUGACAGUGAUCACAGCAUUGUCCCAAUCAUGUUUAAUGUCAUCCUUGGUUUUUAUGAAUUUAUAUCUUUCACUACUUUGCCCCUUUAGGGCCACCACAUUUCACAGUCUCUGAGCUGUUUGUGAGGCUUAUUUUGUUGUGAUAUUUUUUAAACCAUGUGAGGCAGAGUCUUUGGCAAAAUGGUUUAGUUCAUUUGAGGGAGAGCGGUUGAGGUUUUGCUCAGUGCCUGUAUGGUUCACACUAGUUACUGCCACUACUUAUUCUAAAUCUACUAAAACUCUUGGCGCUAGUAUGUAGCCAAACAGUCACUUGUUGAUUAUACUAAUCAAUUACAAAUUAUUGGUCUUGUUGCUUCCUUUGUUAGUGUACAAUAGUCUCUGGUCUAGCCUCAUGCUAUUCUUCCUAUGUUUGGAAGGUUGAUUUUAUAUAGAUUUGAAUGUAGUGUAUUUUUGCCCAACACAUUUCUGUUAUAAAUUACACCUGUGGUGCUUCAGUCAGCUACUUGUUCAACUGCUUUCACAGAAGAUCUAUGCUGCGUAUUAAAACUAGGAACAAACUAGGGCUGUUUGAAAAAGCAGUAUCACACAUGACUUCAGUAUGAAAUUGUCCAGGGAGCUAAUGUUUAGGGUGUGUUGCUGUGUCACAAUACUUUAAAAACAUACUUUCCUUAUCCUCUUUCAUGACCACUGACCAGUGAAAGGACUCAAUAGGUUUUCACUAUACUGCUGUGCUCUCAUCUAUCGAGUCCUCAGGUCAGUAGUGAAGAAAAGGAUACCAGGUAAGAUAUUUACAGUAUGUGUAUGACUUGGGAUAUAGUCUUGACUGCUAUGUCUCUUCCCCCUAAACUGUUAUCAAUGGUCUCACAUGUUUUAGAGUGCUGAUGUGAUGAAGAUUUUCUGUUCUUUUAAGAUAAAUUAAGAUUAUAGUAAAAAUCCAACAAGUUCUAUAUCAUAUAUAGGAACACCAAAGAUCCUAUGUAAUGUUGACAAUGAAAAAAGGCAAAUAAACAAUAAACUUCACAAAGGUGUUAUUAAGGGGUUGUGAUACUUGGUUUGUACCAUUUGACUGAUCUAUAGAUUGAGUUUAUUAGUAAUUAUACAAUGGGUGGGUCUAAUCCUGAAUGCUGAUUGGUUAAAACCGCAUUUCAGCCUGUCUAUUCCACAAGUUGCCACCGGAUAAAUCUAACUGACUGCAAUCCACUGUCUCAUCAGCCCAGCCAACUUAUAAACUUGAUCUCCACUAUAAAAAGCAUCUAGACAUUAUCUAAUUUAUU
rnacentral:lncRNA from 1 species